UGUCCUCCAUAGGAGGUCUAUAUUGAGCAGAUUCUUUUUGGUAUUGGGUGGUGGAACCGGAGCGUGCUCCAUCCACUCCAUGCAUUGACCUGGUAUUGCAGUGCUUCCAGGACCAGUGC
rnacentral:snRNA from 1 species